AUGAAAAUCAGUGGUUGGAAGGAAAAGCUGCUAUCAGCAGGAGGAAAGGAAAUCCUUCUCAAAUUGGUUGUACAAGCUAUCCCAACUUAUGCAAUGUCCGUCUUUAAAAUUCCUAAAAAAAUAUGCAAAGGAAUCAUUGACGCGAUGUCGCAUUUUUGGUGGGGUGACGAAGACAAUCAGAAGAGAAUGCAUUGGAUGGCAUGGUGGAAGAUGUCUGUACCAAAAAGACCAAGGAGGAAUGGGUUUUCGAGACAUACAUUGUUUCAAUUUGGCCUUGUUAGCCAAACAAGCGCGGAGCCUGCUUGA
rnacentral:rRNA from 1 species